rnacentral:rRNA from 1 species
UACGAAGGGGGCGAGCGUUGUUCGGAUUUACUGGGCGUAAAGGGCGCGCAGGCGGUUCUGUUUGUCGAGUGUGAAAGCCCCGGGCUCAACCUGGGAACUGCGCUCGAAACGGCGGAACUAGAGUUCGGGAGAGGAGAGUGGAAUUCCCAGUGUAGAGGUGAAAUUCGUAGAUAUUGGGAAGAACACCGGUGGCGAAGGCGGCUCUCUGGACCGAUACUGACGCUCAGGCACGAAAGCGUGGGGAGCAAACAGG